rnacentral:rRNA from 1 species
GAUGAACGCUGGCGGCGUGCUUAACACAUGCAAGUCGAACGGAAAGGCCCAAGCUUGCUUGGGUACUCGAGUGGCGAACGGGUGAGUAACACGUGGGUGAUCUGCCCUGCACUUCGGGAUAAGCCUGGGAAACUGGGUCUAAUACCGGAUAGGACCACAUUUUGGAUGGUGUGGUGGAAAGUUUUUCGGUGUGGGAUGAGCUCGCGGCCUAUCAGCUUGUUGGUGGGGUAAUGGCCUACCAAGGCGUCGACGGGUAGCCGGCCUGAGAGGGUGUACGGCCACAUUGGGACUGAGAUACGACCCAGACUCCUACGGGAGGCAGCAGUGGGGAAUAUUGCACAAUGGGCGCAAGCCUGAUGCAGCGACGCCGCGUGGGGGAUGACGGCCUUCGGGUUGUAAACUCCUGUCGCUAGGGACGAAGCGUUUUUGUGACGGUACCUGGAGAAGAAGCACCGGCUAACUACGUG